UGUGGGAGCGAGCUUGCUCGCGAUGGCGUUGGGUCAGUCGGCAUCAUGGUUGGCUGAUAGUCCGCUUUCGCGAGCAGGCUCGCUCCCACA
rnacentral:misc_RNA from 1 species